rnacentral:lncRNA from 1 species
CUGAGGGGCAGCGGCUGAGCCGAGGCCGAGGGCGGUGCCGGGGGCGGUGCUCGGUGUCCCGGCGUUGCCGUGUCCCGGUGUCGCUCGGCGCCGCCGGGAGCCGCGGCUCCGUCCCGUCCGCCGGGAGCAGAGCGCGCAGAGAACGGCGCUGCCGCCUCGGAAACAUCUCAGGCUUUCUGCAGGCAUACCUGCCAACACCAUUUACUCCAAACUUCAACUAUUGUCUUAGGUCAGCCUACCACCCCCCUCGGAUCAACAGUCCUGCUGAAGUCGGAGGAAACAGCAAAUUUAAGCAACAGGAGGGGUUAGAUGAGAUGUCAGAAAAGUAGCCUCACCUUUAGCCUGACCUGCUGCACAACUGCAGGUUUUCCCUACACACAGGUAAGCAAGCACAUACAGGACAGAAGUUUUAGUUGCAUGUCUGCAGGUAUGCAGUCAUAUAAGAACUUUUGUUAUUUAUGCCACAUUAAACUCUUAAUUUUUUGUGUGAAACCUCCUGAUUCUCUCUGA